rnacentral:tRNA from 1 species
CAGGGAGACAACACAAUGAUUUUGAUGCCUGAGUGCUUUUAUUCUUAGGCCGAGAUCCUGUCACCUUAGGUCGAUCGGUACCUCAGCUUUGAAGUCAAGGAUCAGCAGCAAUGUUGAUUGCUUGAUGGAGAUUUUCAGUUCCUAAACUUUGUCUAGGUCACACCCCAAAAGGGAUGAGACUCCUGGGCCAUUAGCUCAGGUGGUUAGAGCGCACCCCUGAUAAGGGUGAGGUCCCUGGUUCAAGUCCAGGAUGGCCCAUUCGGUGUUGGGGGUUUAGCUCAGUUGGUAGAGCGCCUGCUUUGCAAGCAGGAUGUCAGGAGUUCGAGUCUCCUAACCUCCACUGACCGAACUUGAUUCCCAUCUCCAAUUUUUUUGGAGUUGAGCUCGAUUGGAGUGUGAUUUAGAUGUGUCCGCUGGAUGACCCCAGCUUCCUGUCAUUCCAAGUUUUAGGUUGAUGCCUUGAAUUUGGUUGAUAAGAUGCUGGGCUCGGAUCAAAUGAUCAAGCAAUUGAUGAUUUGAUUUGAAGUUCUAGCAGGACCUUGACAACUGCAUAGGUGAGUCUGGAAAAAACAAAGCAUCUUACAGAUGCAUUGUUUUGAAUCUGAUCUUCUGAAAGGGAGAUUAGAUCUAGAACAAUGAAAAUUCUUUUGAGCAAGAGCCGAGACUCUUGAGCGUUCUUUGAUUGGUGUCGAGCCAAUCAGAGUUUGAUCUUGUUUUUAGCAAUAAAAACUUGAGAAUCUGCUUUCAACGGCGGUAAGCGUUCAUGAGGUUAAUU